AAGUCGUAACAAGGUUUCCGUAGGUGAACCUGCGGAAGGAUCAUUACCGAUUUUUAGCGAGCCUGACCUCUUUGGUCAUGGUCUCGCGAAAACUUUGUAUUUAAAACCCCACUCUUUAUUAUGUAAAUGAAUCAUUUAUUAUUAUUAUUUAUUAAUAAAUAAAGAUCACUUUCAACAACGGAUCUCUUGGCUCUC
rnacentral:misc_RNA from 1 species